GCUAAACGCGAAGAACCUUACCAAGGCUUGACAUACACCGGAAAACGGCCAGAGAUGGUCGCCCCGCAAGGUCGGUGUACAGGUGGUGCAUGGUUGUCGUCAGCUCGUGUCGUGAGAUGUUGGGUUAAGUCCCGCAACGAGCGCAACCCUCGUUCUAUGUUGCCAGCACGUCAUGGUGGGAACUCAUGGGAUACUGCCGGGGUCAACUCGGAGGAAGGUGGGGAUGACGUCAAAUCAUCAUGCCCCUUAUGUCUUGGGCUUCACGCAUGCUACAAUGGCCGGUACAAAGGGCUGCAAUACCGUGAGGUGGAGCGAAUACCCAAAAAGCCGGUCCCAGUUCGGAUUGAGGUCUGCAACUCGACCCCGUGAAGUCGGAGUCGCUAGUAAUCGCAGAUCAGCAACGCUGCGGUGAAUACGUUCCCGGGUCUUGUACACACCG
rnacentral:rRNA from 1 species